AAGAAAAACCCGGCGGAGAAGCACAGCACGGGGCGUGGGGGCUGCGUUCUGCCCCGCUUUUGGGGGGGAUCCAUCCUUGUGAUGAGGAACAAGCUGAAUUUGAACUCGCAGUGCAAGCACCGAGAGCCCAGUCCUGGACCAGCAGCUCUUCCUACAGGCGGCACGGAUGCAGCAGGAACAUGGGAGUGACUGCAGAGCAGCUGAGCACCCUCUAAUGGGACUGUUUCAUCAUCCAAGGGGGACAAAACCAGAAGGGACCUCCCUGCUUUUGUUUCCUAGCAGGAAUUAUUAGGGAGAAUGGCACCUGGCUUUCUGAAGCCAUCUGCCAGCGUUCAUCUUUGCCUGCCUGAAUUUUUCUCAGGUCACCAGGCACUGAGUCCCUUCAGUACCCAGGAAAUCACAGGCUGGGAAGUAUUAACUGGUCCCAAUGAUGUUCAAGCACAGCCACUCUUACCACAGCCUGACCAUCUAGAAGAUCUGCUGGUAAAGGGCCAAAACCAUGGGCUGAAUGUCUGCGUCAGAGGGGCAGCAAGUGGCAGAAGAUUCCCUUGUUCAGCCUGCCCACGCACCACACAUCCACUGCUGGUUUGCUACAAAACCACCUCCUUGAUGUGAAACCACACCACGCAACAAGACACUUGUUAGCUCAGUCCAGGCUCUUCCUUCCCCUCCAUCCCUUUUGCCCUGCUACUAGCUGGAGAGAGGAAAAAAAAGAAAAAAAAAAAAAAAAAAAAGGACUAUUUUUUAACAAAUUAUAAAGGUAACCUCUAAGAAGGAAAGCUUUAAGCUUCCAAAUCUGCUUCCUCAUCUGGCAAAUGGGGCUCGUUUUCCUCACAGGUGUUUUGCACUGCAGCAAGGUUUUCCCCAGCAGGUGCUAUGGAAGGUAAACUGUGAUUUCUCAGGUCCAGCCUGCAAUGGGAGCUGGAGAACUGCAACUGAGUGAUGGGUUCUGGCUUACGGUGGUUUUAAGCCUGAUGUCCCCAAGGCCUUAUCUGCCUGCAAGCUGCUUCAUUUCAGUCACUUAAUUCAGAUUAAGGAUGGCUUUUGCAAAACCACAAUGAUCCUAGUUGAAAUAAAUAUUCAAAUUCUGCACUAGCGUAAUUCCAUUACAGCACUACCCAGAUCCUUUCUGCAACCUGGCCGUUAAAAACUUCACCUAAAAAAGGAAGCGGGCUAAUGGCUUGCAAAAUGGUUUCCAGCCAGGGGACAGGACCGGUCUUCCUGAACCAAUUCCAGACGCUAUCGUGGGCUGGCAGACCACAAGAUGACCCCUUCCCAGGGGAGCCCGGGCAGAUGCAGCCCCCAGACUCGCCCCCAGGGCACGGCCACCAGCGCAGACGGUGCCGGAGCAGGGAACCGGCUGGGCUGCGACAUCUCGCCGUGCUUUGAAGCCUCUCCAUGGAGAUCGCGGCAGGGAGCCGGGCAUUGCACAGUUUCCCAGCCGUGCUCGCACGCCGUUAGGAGCAGCAGGAGAGCGGCAUUCCUGCCCCGAGCAGACCAAA